GAUGAACGCUGGCGGCGUGCCUAAUACAUGCAAGUCGAGCGAACAGACGAUGAGCUUGCUCCUCUGACGUUAGCGGCGGACGGGUGAGUAACACGUGGAUAACCUACCUAUAAGACUGGGAGAACUUCGGGAAACCGGAGCUAAUACCGGAUAAUAUAUUGAACCGCAUGGUUCAAUAGUGAAAGACGGUUUUGCUGUCACUUAUAGAUGGAUCCGCGCCGCAUUAGCUAGUUGGUAAGGUAACGGCUUACCAAGGCAACGAUGCGUAGCCGACCUGAGAGGGUGAUCGGCCACACUGGAACUGAGACACGGUCCAGACUCCUACGGGAGGCAGCAGUAGGGAAUCUUCCGCAAUGGGCGCAAGCCUGACGGAGCAACGCCGCGUGAGUGAUGAAGGUCUUCGGAUCGUAAAACUCUGUUAUUAGGGAAGAACAAAUGUGUAAGUAACUAUGCACGUCUUGACGGUACCUAAUCAGAAAGCCACGGCUAACUACGUG
rnacentral:rRNA from 1 species